rnacentral:pre_miRNA from 1 species
AAUCUAAUGGAAACAUAUCUGCACAUGACAAAGAAACUAGUGUGCAGAAAUGCUUCUGCACACCU